UUGGAGGGCAAGUCUGGUGCCAGCAGCCGCGGUAAUUCCAGCUCCAAUAGCGUAUAUUAAAGUUGUUGUGGUUAAAAAGCUCGUAGUUGAACCUUGGGCCUGGCUGGCCGGUCCGCCUCACCGCGUGUACUGGUCCGGCCGGGCCUUUCCCUCUGUGGAACCCCAUGCCCUUCACUGGGUGUGGCGGGGAAACAGGACUUUUACUUUGAAAAAAUUAGAGUGCUCCAGGCAGGCCUAUGCUCGAAUACAUUAGCAUGGAAUAAUAGAAUAGGACGUGUGGUUCUAUUUUGUUGGUUUCUAGGACCGCCGUAAUGAUUAAUAGGGACAGUCGGGGGCAUCAGUAUUCAAUUGUCAGAGGUGAAAUUCUUGGAUUUAUUGAAGACUAACUACUGCGAAAGCAUUUGCCAAGGAUGUUUUCAUUAAUCAGGAACGAAAGUUAGGGGAUCGAAGACGAUCAGAUACCGUCGUAGUCUUAACCAUAAACUAUGCCGACUAGGGAUCGAAACGAGUAUUGUCC
rnacentral:rRNA from 1 species